CAGUAGCCGCGGGAAUACGUAGGUGGCAAGCGUUGUCCGGAAUUAUUGGGCGUAAAGGGCUCGCAGGCGGUUUCUUAAGUCUGAUGUGAAAGCCCCCGGCUCAACCGGGGAGGGUCAUUGGAAACUGGGAAACUUGAGUGCAGAAGAGGAGAGUGGAAUUCCACGUGUAGCGGUGAAAUGCGUAGAGAUGUGGAGGAACACCAGUGGCGAAGGCGACUCCCUGGCCUGUAACUGACGCUGAGGAGCGAAAGCGUGGGGAGCGAACAGGAUUAGAUACCCGCGUAGUCCCUGUCUCUUAUAC
rnacentral:rRNA from 1 species